rnacentral:rRNA from 1 species
AGAUAGUGAUAUGGAGCAAAACCCUAAAAAGACGGUCUCAGUUCGGAUUGAAGGCUGAAAUUCGCCUUCAUGAAGCUGGAAUUGCUAGUAAUGGCAGGUCAGCAUACUGCCGUGAAUACGUUCCCGGGCCUUGUACACACCGCCCGUCAAACCAUGAGAGUUGGCAACACCCGAAGUCGGUAGUCUAACCGCAAGGAGGACGCCGCCGAAGGUGGGGUUGAUGAUUAGGGUUAAGUCGUAACAAGGUAAC